AAAGUCGUAACAAGGUCUCCGUAGGUGAACCUGCGGAGGGAUCAUUAUAGAAAACCUACCAUACAGAAGGGGAUGGGGGGAGACUCUUGUUCCUUUCUGACAACCAAACAAACAUGACUAGGAAAACACACGUGCGUGUGCGUGUGUGGGAGAGGGAGCGUGCUCCCUGGUCCGACUGCGCAUAUGCAGCAUGCAGCAGAAGUUCUUGUCUGACAAGUAGCUUGCUGAUUUGGUGAAGUUACAAAGUAUACAAUACAACUUUCAACAACGGAUCUCUUGGCUCUC
rnacentral:misc_RNA from 1 species